UGAGUAACGCGUGAGUAACCUGCCUUCAAGAGGGGGAUAACAUUCUGAAAAGAAUGCUAAUACCGCAUGACAUAUCGGAAUCACAUGGUUCUGAUAUCAAAGAUUUUAUCGCUUGAAGAUGGACUCGUGUCCGAUUAGUUAGUUGGUGAGGUAACGGCUCACCAAGACCGCGAUCGGUAGCCGGACUGAGAGGUUGAACGGCCACAUUGGGACUGAGAGACGGCCCAAACUCCUACGGGAGGCAGCAUG
rnacentral:rRNA from 1 species